rnacentral:rRNA from 1 species
CCUGAGAAACCCAAAAGAUCGAAUGGGGAGAUUCAUCGUCAGCUCAUUUUGUAUAUGUAUAAGUUAUGAUGCGGGUUACUACUUGUAGUAUUGCCUGCACAUUCUUGUAUAUUUAGUUGCAAGAUGUUGUCGGCGUGCACUUCUCCCCUAGUAGGACGUCGCGACCUGUUGGGUGUCGGUCUACGGCCCAAGUGAUAGUCUUUAAUGUAAUUCAAAAAACAUUGAAGAUCCUUGGUGUUUUCUGACCGGCUACUUGGCAGUAUUCGUACGGUAUUUAGCCGCUAAAUUUAUUAAGCGUCCAUAUUCAUCACAAGCGAGGCUAAUUUACUGAUAGUACGGACCUAGUGCCGUCGUUGGUAUUGGCCAGCUGUUGGUUGAUGGUAUUCUAGGACUGGCUAAAAUUAAUUACCGGUCGGCGAUGCUACUGCUUUGGGUACUUUCAGG